CAAGUCGAGUGCGCGUCUGUAGCAAUACAGAUGGCGCACGGCGCACGGGUGCGUAACACGUGGGUAAUCUGCCCUUCGAAGGGGAAUAACUCGCCGAAAGGCGAGCUAAUUCCGCAUAACAUUCCGAGAACCUUGGUUUUUGGAUUCAAAGGCGUAAGUCGUCGGAGGAGGAGCCCGCGCACGAUUAGCUAGUUGGUAGGGUAACGGCCUACCAAGGCUAUGAUCGUUAGCUGGUCUGAGAGGAUGGCCAGCCACACUGGAACUGAGACACGGUCCAGACUCCUACGGGAGGCAGCAGUGGGGAAUCUUGCACAAUGGGCGAAAGCCUGAUGCAGCGACGCCGCGUGGGGGAUGAAGCUUCUCGGAGUGUAAACCCCUUUCGACCCGGACGAAUGCCCCGCAAGGGGACUGACGGUACGGGUAUAAGAAGCCCCGGCUAACUACGUGCCAGCAGCCGCGGUAAGACGUAGGGGGCCAGCGUUGCUCGGAAUUACUGGGUGUAAAGGGUUCGUAGGCGGUGUGGCAAGUCGGGAGUGAAAUCUCUAGGCUCAACCUAGAGUCUGCUUCCGAAACUGCUGUGCUUGAGUGUGGGAGAGGCGCGUGGAAUUGCAGGUGUAGCGGUGAAAUGCGUAGAUAUCUGCAGGAACACCCGUGGCGAAAGCGGCGCGCUGGACCACUACUGACGCUGAGGAACGAAAGCUAGGGGAGCAAACAGGAUUAGAUACCCUGGUAGUCCUAGCCCUAAACGAUCAGGACUUGGGGUGCCACCCGUUCGGGUGUCGUCCCGGAGCUAACGCGUUAAGUCCUGCACCUGGGGA
rnacentral:rRNA from 1 species